rnacentral:SRP_RNA from 1 species
GGCGGGUCGCCCCGCAUUGUCCGGUAGUGAACCUGGUCAGGUCCGGAAGGAAGCAGCCACAGCUAUUUAGGGCAAGUGCCGGGGGAACGGCUCGCCACC